UACGUAGGGUGCGAGCGUUGUCCGGAAUUAUUGGGCGUAAAGGGCUCGUAGGCGGUUUGUCACGUCGGGAGUGAAAACUCAGGGCUUAACCCUGAGCUUGCUUCCGAUACGGGCAGACUAGAGGUAUGCAGGGGAGAACGGAAUUCCUGGUGUAGCGGUGAAAUGCGCAGAUAUCAGGAGGAACACCGGUGGCGAAGGCGGUUCUCUGGGCAUUACCUGACGCUGAGGCGCGAAAGCGUGGGGAGCAAACGGG
rnacentral:rRNA from 1 species